rnacentral:rRNA from 1 species
GCGAACCGGGGGAACUGAAACAUCUAAGUACCCCGAGGAAAAGAAAUCAACCGAGAUUCCGAAAGUAGCGGCGAGCGAAAUUGGACUAGCCCUUAAGCUUUACACGCGUUAGACGAACGGUCUGGAAAGUCCGACGAUACAGGGUGAUAGUCCCGUAGUUGACGACGUGUGUUCAGUGAAAUCGAGUAGGGCGGGACACGUGAUAUCCUGUCUGAAUAUGGGGGGACCAUCCUCCAAGGCUAAAUACUACUGACUGACCGAUAGUGAACCAGUACCGUGAGGGAAAGGCGAAAAGAACCCCUGUGAGGGGAGUGAAAUAGAACCUGAAACCGUGUACGUACAAGCAGUAGGAGCAGGCUUGUCCUGUGACUGCGUACCUUUUGUAUAAUGGGUCAGCGACUUAUAUUCAGUGGCAAGGUUAACCAUCUAGGGGAGCCGUAGGGAAACCGAGUCUUAACUGGGCGUUCAGUCUCUGGAUAUAGACCCGAAACCAGGUGAUCUAGCCAUGGGCAGGUUGAAGGUUGAGUAACAUCAACUGGAGGACCGAACCGACUAAUGUUGAAAAAUUAGCGGAUGACUUGUGGCUAGGGGUGAAAGGCCAAUCAAACCUGGAGAUAGCUGGUUCUCCCCGAAAGCUAUUUAGGUAGCGCCUCGGACGAAUACUACUGGGGGUAGAGCACUGUUAAGGCUAGGGGGUCAUCCCGACUUACCAACCCUUUGCAAACUCCGAAUACCAGUAAGUACUAUCCGGGAGACACACGGCGGGUGCUAACGUCCGUCGUGGAGAGGGAAACAACCCAGACCGCCAGCUAAGGUCCCAAAUUACUACUAAGUGGGAAACGAUGUGGGAAGGCUCAGACAGCCAGGAUGUUGGCUUAGAAGCAGCCAUCAUUUAAAGAAAGCGUAAUAGCUCACUGGUCGAGUCGGCCUGCGCGGAAGAUGUAACGGGGCUAAGUAGUAAACCGAAGCUGCGGCAAUGUGCUUUUGCACAUUGGGUAGGGGAGCGUUCUGUAAGCGGUUGAAGGUGUGUGGUAACGCAUGCUGGACGUAUCAGAAGUGCGAAUGCUGACAUGAGUAACGAUAAAGGGGGUGAAAAACCUCCUCGCCGGAAGACCAAGGGUUCCUGUCCAACGUUAAUCGGGGCAGGGUAAGUCGACCCCUAAGGCGAGGCCGAAAGGCGUAGUCGAUGGGAAACGGGUUAAUAUUCCCGUACUUCUUACAAUUGCGAUGGGGGGACGGAGAAGGCUAGGUGGGCCUGGCGACGGUUGUC